UUCACUGCAAACAGAAAAAUAUUUUCCCCAUUUAAAAACAUCUCAAAACAAAAAUAUGAACAAAUAAAUAUUCAUAAAUAAUAAUAAAUAUUAAAAUUACAUCAUCGAAAAACGGUUUAAAGAGUCCUGAGAAGAUGAUGAAAUGAAAAAUGUUCACACCAGACGACCUUUUCUGUGACUGUCAUUAUCUGUCAGUUACUGAAACAGCAUUCAUUCCAUAUAUUCAGAUUUUCAUUCAAUAUAUUCCAACUUUCAUUCCAUAUAUUCAGACUUUCAUUCAAUAUAUUCAGAUUUUCAUUCCAUAUAUUCAGAUUUUCAUUCCAUAUAUCCCGACUUUCAUUCCAUAUAUUCCGACUUUUUUUCCCUACCGAGCCCCAGAAGGGACAUGUCGGUUUGGCGAAACGACAAUGGAGGACACCCACCUGUACGAGAGUUUUAUUGAGGUUUAUUUUGAAAUCGGCCUAAAACACAAAGACAUUCAAGCAGUGCUUAACAAGAGGCACAGUUUUCACAUAAACGAUACUGCUUUUCGAGCAAGCUGGUUCCAGUGCAAGUUCGGAGCCAGUGUCUGACUGAGCACCAGUUCCUUGUGUUUCCACCAACUAACCACCGGCUCCUGGGGACGCAGCAGUUAUCGGCCAAAACAAUCCCGCUUUGACCAGCUGCAUGCUGUGAUUCUAGCCGGGGCCCUGAACGCCACAGUCGUGCUGGACUUGAUGCACUACGAGUCUGCCAUGCAGACCAGUGAUCCUGAUCCUGUUGUCGGCCUUGGAGGAUGAGGUCCAGUUACCAGGAUCACUACUCUGCAGCUCAUCCAUGCUGUCCUCCUCUCAACAGACCAAAUCAACUGCAUCCUGUUUGAGUGGAAACCAGCUAAUUGAGCUGCAGCUGAUAACGGCAGCAACUAAAGAGCUAAUGCUAACGCUAACGCCGCCUGUCCAUCAUCAGCCAUGGACAGGACCGGAGGUUUAAUCUGCACUUUAGCAAAUGGACGAGAGGCUGAGAGUUUCUCCCUCCAUCGUCCAUCUUCUGUUUUCAGACGCCAGAGGAGGAAGAAACACAAAAUAUACCAGGAUUUAUGUCUUUGAAUUAUGUUCUGCAGCUCAGACUGAGAUCAAAUAAGCAGAAAAAAUAGUUUAAGCACCUUUAAAGGUAGAUUUUUCUUUCAUAAAUUCAACCUAAAGCCACAGUUUUAAUUCUAUAUUUCAACAUUGCAGUGGAUUAACACAAAUAUUUCAGAUUAUUUACUGAUCCUGGCUGCAGAUUUCAACACUUUUAGGUCAAAGAUGUGAUUUUAAACCCAUCUGUUUUCACCGUUUGCCUCAGUGAAGACACAUUUCCUCAUUUAUAAUCAAUCUGAACGUUGGUUUCUGUAGAUUUUUUCAGUUUUAAUCAGGUUUCUGAGGAGACGAGGACUGUAGAAGUACUUUCAGGAAGCUGUUCCCACCGUUUAAUUAAAUGACCACAAGAUAAUAAAAAUAAAUUGAAUUUACUAACUAAAGAUAUAAACACUAUUUUGGUGACUUGUGUUGACAAAAUAAUGUUGCAUCAUCUUAAUAUUUUGUGUAAUUUAAACUCAGUUUUCUGCUUUAGUUGAUUUAAAACUAAAUUCAAGUUGAGGGAACACAAUGAAAAUGGUUUGAGCAACUUAGAUUUUAAAUGUUUGUCAACUUUAAAACUUGUUCAUAAUUAUGGUAAUUAAGUACACAACACUUAAAAACUAUUUUAAAAACGUGGAAAUACUAGCGGGAAAACCUUAGUAUGUAUGUUGCACAUCAAUAACAUUUGUGUUCCCAAACAGUAACAUUUAUGUUCCCUUAUAAUAAUGUUUGUGUUCUGUUACAAUAACUUUUAUGUUCUCUAAAAAUAAUACUUGUGUUGCCUCACAGUAUUUUUUUGUAUUUCUUCACAAUAACUUUUGUGUUCCCUCACAAUUAUGUUCUCUAAAAAUAACUUUUCUUACAAUAAGUUUUUAGUUACCUCAAAAUAACAUUUAUCUUCUCUCACAACAACAUUUAUGUUCCCUCAUAAUAAUAUUUAUGUUCCCUUGCAUAAACACUGGUGUGCCCUUGUACUAACAUUUCAGUUCCCAAACAAUAACAUUUAUGUUCCCUAACAAUAACUUUGACAUUCUCUUGCAGUAACUUUUGUGUUCCCUCAAAUGUACGACUCUUUUUAACCCUUUUUUUUCUUUAGAGCUUCUCCUCCAUUUAGAUCUGAAACCAUUAAACCAGUAACAUCCUCUUUAUCUGUCUGGACGUAACUGGGACACACACACACACACACACACACACACACACACACACACACUGUCUGCAGCAGCUACAUGCUAAGCUAAUGUUGCUGUCAGUUGCAUCAGACGUUCACAUGCAAAGAGAUUUUUUUGGACAUUUUAAAUCAAAUUACUUCAAAAUGCAGCUUGUUUUUUUCUGCAAACAUCAACUAAAAGGUAACAUGAUGGAAACAACACGCGACAAACACGUGUCUUUUUUCUUUCAGCUCAGUUUGACUUCCUGCUAUGUUUAAUUUCUGUGUUUAAACGUGUUUUUUUAUGUAAUCUGUUCUCAGCUGGACGGUAAUCGCCAUCUGAACAGCUGAGGUCGCCAAGGUUACGUAACCGAUGAGUCAGCAUGGACACACAAACACACAAACACAAACACACAAUAAUCUCAUUAAAUCUGCAAGAAUUUCAUCUAAACUACAGCAGGACGGUUUGGACGCCACUUCCUGUUUUCACACCUUUGUCCGCGGAUCAACUGGAUCGGAUUUCCUGACUUUAAUCAGGAUUUUCUUGGGCCUUCGUGCUGAGUUCAGUCAGUUUGACCUCAAAUACACAAGAAUCUAAAUACUUGUAGUAAAAUCUGAACAUCUCGUCAUUUUUACAGAUAUUUUACCAACAGUCAGCUACAGCUCCUAUUUUAUUCUGCAGAACCAGAAGUUCACAAAUUAAUGCGAAAAAUCAACAGAUUUCAGCAGCAGAACAACAUGUUAAUCAGUUACAAUCACACAGCGCCCCCUGCAGGUCACAGAUAGAAGUAUUUCAGACUACUUUUACAUUUCCUGGCAAAAAGUUUGGAGACACUCGCAAUACUUUGGUUUCCUCACAGUACUUUUAUGUUCCCUUACAAUAACUCUUGCAUUACCUACCAUAACUAGUCAAUGUUCCCUUACAAUAACUUUAACGUUCCCUUAUAGUAACUGUAACACUCCCUUGCACUAACUUUGACAUUCCCUUACGGCAACUUUGAUGUUCCCUGACAAAACUUUUGUGUUCCCUUUAAAUAACUUUGGUGUUCCCUUGCAAUAACGUUCACGUUCUUGAGCAAAGCUUUUGGGUUCUCUCAUAUUAGCCUUCCCGUUCCCUUGCAACCUUUUUGUGUUCCCUCGUAAUAACUUUUGAAAUAACUUUCACGUUCCCUUAUGAUAACUUUAACAUUCCCUUCCAACAAUUUUCAUGUUCUUUUACAAUAACUUUGACAUUUCCUCAUGAAAACUUUUGAGUUCCCGACCUUAACUUUCAUGUUUUCUUGUAAUACUUUUCUGUUCCCUUACAGUAAUUCUAAUGUUCCCUUGAAUAACUUUCAUGUCCCCUUACAAAACCUCUGAUGUUCCCUAACAAUAACUUUGUGUUCCCUGAGAUAAUUUUGACCUGACCUUACAAUAAAUUUGCUGUUCCUUUACAAUAACUUCUGUUCCCUUUAAAUAAUUUCUGUGUUUCCUUACAGUAACUUUUAUGUUCCCUUGAAAUAACUUUCACGUUCUUUUGCAAAACUUUCAUGUUCCCUUAUGAUAGCUUUCGGGUUCCCUACUAUAACUUUCGUGUGUUUUUGUAAUACUUUUCUGUUCCCUUACAAUAAUUCUGAUGUUCCCUUGAAUAAUUUUCAUCUUCCCUUUUAAUAAUUUUGUCUUCAUUUGCAAUUACUUAUGUGUUCCCUCGAAUUAACUUUCAUGUUCCCUUAUGAUAACUUUGAUGUUCCCUGACAAUAACUUUCGGGUUCCCUACCAUAACUUUCGUGUGUUUUUGUAAUAUUUUUCUGUUCCCUUACAAUAAUUCUGACGUUCCCUUACAAUAACUUUUAUGUUCCCUUACGACAUCUUUCACAUUUCCCUCACAAUAACUAAAACGUUCCUUUACAGUAACUUUCAUGUUCUCUUAAAGUAAGUUUUGCGUUCGCUUACAAAUAUUUUGCAUUCCCUUACAAUAACUUUCAUGUUCUUUUGCAAAGCUUUUGUGUUCCCUUAAAAUCACUUAUGUUUUCAUUUGCAGUACUUUUGCGUUCUCUCAAAUUAAUUUUCAUGUUCCCUCACAAUAUCUUUGCAUUUCCUCACAAUACAUUUGGUUUCCCUGACAGUAACUUUAACAUUCCCUUAAGAUAAAGUGACUAAACUCACUAUGUUCCCUCUGAUCCAUAUAAUAGUUGCAGUUUUUUGGUCCAGUCUAGUCAGAGGUUAGACAUUUAUUGUUUAUUAUUGAUUUGAAAAUGCAGAUCGUGUUAAAGCUAGACUGAACCAAAACAACACCUAAAGAUUAUUUUCAUUGUUGAUUGGUUUUUGGAUCGUUUGUUGAAAAAUGUGGAUAAGAAUUUCCUCAAAUGUCUUGUUUUGUCCAAAAAUAUUCAAUUUACUGUCACAGAGGAGAAAAAAAAACAGAUAUUCAAUUUUAAGAUGCUAAAAUCACAGAAUUUGAACUGUUUAUAUUAAAAAUACUCUAACUGAUUAAGUGAUUAUCCAAAUAGUUAAUUAUUUAUUAGUUAAUCCAUGAAUUCAUCUUUUAUAUUCAAUUUGUAGUGAAUUAAUAUAACAUCUGCCCUGAAUUUCUACAGUCUAUCGUUGGUUUCCUGCGGGUUUAUUAUUGAUAAACAGGCCCUGAGUUUACAAUGACCUUGUAUUGAUCACAGACGCUGGAGAAGCAAACUGGGAACCCUGGAAACCACCAGUACAGCCAGUAAAACCAGCAAAACGUUGACAUAACGGAUCAUUUCUCGGUAAUUUCUAUGGAUUUCAGACGAUGUGACCAGCAGGUUGAGGCUGAAGCAUCCUCCAUACAUCCACCAUUCAUCCAUCCAUUCAUCCAUCCACCAUCCAUCUUUCAUCCAUCUUUCAUCCAUCCAGCCUCCAUCCAGCCUCCAUUUUACACCAAACCCCACCGCAGACCCAAAAUAGCGCAACAUUUACGCUCAAUCCGCGUCCAGUUCCAAACACAGCGCCUCGUCUAUGAACCAAAGCCGUUAAAACAGCAGCAGAACCGAGCCUGGACGUGGUUUGUGCCAAUGUGCGUAGUAAGGAGCGGGACGGAAAAACGCCCCACGAACACAAUGAAAACACGCAGCCGCAGAGACACGCACCGAGGCUCCGCUGCUGGAUCCAUCCACGCCUUAAAUUACCAAGGAUUCGGUUUUCAAAGCUUUAAACGGCUUUAAACGGGUUUAUUUGGGAGGUUUUGUUUUGAACGGCGCCUCCGCCUUCAUCCUCCGUCAUCAUCCUCAGCAUCAGCAUCUUCGUCCUCCGAGAAUCCGCUGAUCACAAUCCUCAAACCGUCGAUAACAACAAUAAAAACGGGUUUUAUUUACCUGCGAAUAAGC